CAAGUAUGUUACUGCUGAAUGAAGUAGCAGAAAAAAUCGAAGAUUUCUCUCUUUCCCUUUUCAACUACUUUUUAUGGCGUUUCAAUGAAGAUCCCUCUGGUGCUUGGUGAAGCAAGAACAGGAGUCUACAUCCUUCAUACAACAAGUUCUCAAUCACACUUUUUCUUCAAGUCUCAAUUAGAUCCUAGUUCUAGUAUUUCCAACCCUGUUUCUAGCACAACUUCUGGACCUAUAAAAUCCCAUUCUAUUGUGGCAUUAUGGCAUAAUAGAUUGGGAUAUCUACCUUUUCAUGCAAUGAAAACAUUGAGUUUUAUUUCUUCUCUAGUCAAUGAAAAUUGUUAUUGUGGUUUA